rnacentral:rRNA from 1 species
CAAAUAAUGCGAACAUAUUAGGAGUCCUGCCUGCCCGGUGACUUAGUUAAACGGCCGCGGUAUCUUGACCGUGCAAAGGUAGCAUAAUCAUUUGCCUCUUAAAUGGGGGCUGGUAUGAAUGGCAAGACGGAAAUUAAGCUGUCUCUCCCUUGGUUUCCCUAAUUUAAUUUUUCCGUGAAGAAGCGGAAAUUUAGUCGUGGGACGAGAAGACCCUGUCGAGCUUUAGUGGUUAUUUUCUAGGCAGAGUAAAGGCCGUUUGCUGCUAAUUAACUUAUAAAAGGAAUUUGUUUUACGAGGCGAAGGACCUUGUCUUGGGAAGUACGCUUUGGUUGGGGCAACCGCGGAGUAUAGAAAUCCUCCGUUAAGUUAACUAAAUGAAGUUAUAUCUUUUUUGUGGGCUUACUAUCGGAUUGAUCCGCCUGUAUGGGGGCGAACAAAUGAACAAGUUACCGCAGGGAUAACAGCGUAAUUCCCUUGGAGAGUUCGUAUUGGUAAGGGAGUUUGCGACCUCGAUGUUGGAUCGGGAUUUCCUGGGGGUGAAGCAGCUCCUAAGGGUUGGUCUGUUCGACCAUUAAAAUCUU